rnacentral:rRNA from 1 species
UGUCUUGUAAUUGGAAUGAUGGGAAUUUAAACCUCUUCCAGAGUAUCAAUUGGAGGGCAAGUCUGGUGCCAGCAGCCGCGGUAAUUCCAGCUCCAAUAGCGUAUAUUAAAAUUGUUGCAGUUAAAAAGCUCGUAGUUGAAUUUCUGCUGCAUUGCUUUUGCUCCUUUACGAGUCUUUGCAUUGUGGCUUAUUUCGGACUUUGUUUUACAAUGUCCGGAUGUUUACUUUGAGAAAAUUAGAGUGCUCAAAGCAGGCUUUCGCCUUGAAUAGUUUAGCAUGGAAUAAUAAAGUAGGACUUUGGUUCUAUUUUGUUGGUUUUAGGUACCAAAGUAAUGGUUAAUAGGAACAGUUGGGGGCAUUCGUAUUUAACUGUCAGAGGUGAAAUUCUUAGAUUUGUUAAAGACGAACUACUGCGAAAGCAUUUGCCAAGGAUGUUUUCAUUAAUCAAGAACG